rnacentral:rRNA from 1 species
GCUUGCUUUUUGCUGACGAGUGGCGAACGGGUGCGUAACGCGUAUGCAACCUACCUUCUUCUGAGGAAUAGCCCAGAGAAAUUUGGAUUAAAACCUCAUGAUAAUAUUUAUUCGCAUGUUUAAAUAUUUAAAAUUUCGAUGGAAGAAGAUGGGCAUGCGUAACAUUAGUUUGUUGGUGAGGUAAUGGCUCACCAAGACUACGAUGUUUAGGGGGUCUGAGAGGAUGAUCCCCCACACUGGUACUGAGACACGGACCAGACUCCUACGGGAGGCAGCAGUGAGGAAUAUUGGUCAAUGGACGAAAGUCUGAACCAGCCAUGCCGCGUGAAGGAUGACUGCCCUACGGGUUGUAAACUUCUUUUGUAUAGGAAGAAACCCCUCUACGUGUAGAGGGUUGACGGUACUAUUCGAAUAAGCACCGGCU